AUUGAACGCUGGCGGAAUGCUUUACACAUGCAAGUCGAACGGCAGCACGGACUUCGGUCUGGUGGCGAGUGGCGAACGGGUGAGUAAUGUAUCGGAACGUGCCCAGUCGUGGGGGAUAACGUAGUGAAAAUUACGCUAAUACCGCAUACGAUCUAUGGAUGAAAGCGGGGGAUCGCAAGACCUCGCGCGAUUGGAGCGGCCGAUAUCAGAUUAGCUACUUGGUGGGGUAAAGGCACACCAAGCCAACGAUCUGUAGCUGGUCUGAGAGGACGACCAGCCACACUGGAACUGAGACACGGUCCAGACUCCUACGGGAGGCAGCAGUGGGGAAUUUUGGACAAUGGGCGAAAGCCUGAUCCAGCCAUUCCGCGUGCAGGAUGAAGGCCCUCGGGUUGUAAACUGCUUUUGUACAGAACGAAAAGGUUUCUACUAAUACUAGGAGCUCAUGACGGUACUGUAAGAAUAAGCACCGGCUAACUACGUGCCAGCCGCCGCGGUAA
rnacentral:rRNA from 1 species